GCCUGGUUAGCUUAGUUGGUAGUGCGUCUGCCUUGUAAGCGCUAGGCCGCGGGUUCGAUUCCCGCCAGGGGCG
rnacentral:tRNA from 1 species